rnacentral:rRNA from 1 species
UAAACUUCUUUUAUUAAGGACGAAAAAUGACGGUACUUAAUGAAUAAGCUCCGGCUAACUACGUGCCAGCAGCCGCGGUAAUACGUAGGGAGCAAGCGUUGUCCGGAUUUACUGGGUGUAAAGGGUGCGUAGGCGGCUUUGCAAGUCAGAUGUGAAAUCUAUGGGCUCAACCCAUAAACUGCAUUUGAAACUGUAGAGCUUGAGUGAAGUAGAGGCAGGCGGAAUUCCCCGUGUAGCGGUGAAAUGCGUAGAGAUGGGGAGGAACACCAGUGGCGAAGGCGGCCUGCUGGGCUUUAACUGACGCUGAGGCACGAAAGCGUGGGUAGCAAACAGGAUUAGAUACCCUAGUAGUCCACGCUGUAAACGAUGAUUACUAGGUGUGGGGGGUCUGACCCCUUCCGUGCCGGAGUUAACACAAUAAGUAAUCCACCUGGGGAGUACGGCCGCAAGGUUGAAACUCAAAGGAAUUGACGGGGGCCCGCACAAGCAGUGGAGUAUGUGGUUUAAUUCGAAGCGACGCGAAGAACCUUACCAGGUCUUGACAUCCAACUAACGAA